rnacentral:rRNA from 1 species
UACGGAGGGUGCUAGCGUUGUUCGGAAUUACUGGGCGUAAAGCGCGCGUAGGCGGACCAGCAAGUUAGGGGUGAAAUCCCGGGGCUCAACCCCGGAACUGCCUUUAAAACUGUUGGUCUGGAGGUCGAGAGAGGUGAGUGGAAUUCCGAGUGUAGAGGUGAAAUUCGUAGAUAUUCGGAGGAACACCAGUGGCGAAGGCGGCUCACUGGCUCGAUACUGACGCUGAGGUGCGAAAGCGUGGGGAGCAAACAGG